AGAGUUUGAUCCUGGCUCAGAUUGAACGCUGGCGGAAUGCUUUACACAUGCAAGUCGAACGAUGAACCUUAGCUUGCUAAGGGGAUUAGUGGCGAACGGGUGAGUAAUAUAUCGGAACGUACCUUGUAAUGGGGGAUAACUAGUCGAAAGAUUAGCUAAUACCGCAUACGCCCUGAGGGGGAAAGUAGGGGAUCUUCGGACCUUACGUUAUAAGAGCGGCCGAUAUCUGAUUAGCUAGUUGGUGGGGUAAUGGCCUACCAAGGCGACGAUCAGUAGCUGGUCUGAGAGGACGACCAGCCACACUGGAACUGAGACACGGUCCAGACUCCUACGGGAGGCAGCAGUGGGGAAUUUUGGACAAUGGGCGCAAGCCUGAUCCAGCCAUUCCGCGUGAGUGAAGAAGGCCUUCGGGUUGUAAAGCUCUUUCGCAAGGGAAGAAAACUUACACAAUAACACUGUGUGAGGCUGACGGUACCUUGAUAAGAAGCACCGGCUAACUACGUGCCAGCAGCCGCGGU
rnacentral:rRNA from 1 species